AGUUUGAUUAUGGCUCAGACGACGCUGGUGGCGUGUCUUAUACAUGCAGGUCGAGCGAGGCAGCAAUGCCGAGCGGCGAACGGGUGAGUAACGCGUAAGCAAUCUGCCCCAUAUCAGGAAAUACCCGUGCCAACGCGCGGUUAAUGUCCAGGAGAGUGGCCCUCCGCAUGGAGGGUUGACUAGAGAUUUAUCGGUAUGGGAUGAGCUUGCGUCCGAUUAGCUAGUUGGCGGGCAACGGCCCACCAAGGCGACGAUCGGUAGCCGGCCUGAGAGGGUGAUCGGCCACAUUGGGACUGAGAUACGGCCCAGACUCCUACGGGAGGCAGCAGUAGGGAAUAUUGCACAAUGGGGGAAACCCUGAUGCAGCAACGCCAACCGUGUGGGAAGAAGCAUUUCGGUGUGUAAACCACUGUCAUGAGGGAAUAAGGCCCGCCUUCGGACGGGAUUGAAUGUACCUUGAAAGGAAGCACCGGCAAACUUCGUGCCAGCCGCCGC
rnacentral:rRNA from 1 species